CUUAGAUGGCUGCUUAAAUAUACUUAAAGCUAAAUACGGUGCCAAUGUAGCUGUUUUGCGAGACGAAGACAAUAAUUUCAGAGGACUUUUCAUUCAAAGUCCAACCAUGAAAAGUACAAUGAAGGCUUUUCCAGAAUUUCUUGCAGUAGAUGCUACAUAUAAAUUACUUAAAAUAGGAUUACCUGUUUUUCUCAUAAAGGACGUCCAAAAGGACAGGACUUAACAGUCAUAGGACUACCAAAGAAAAGGAAAAGAUGUACUGUAGCAUUUGCUAAACAAUUCUAUCAUGAAAAACAAAAUGUAAUCCUGAAUUGCUUCGUUAAGGAUCGUAACAUCGUUAGAGACAUCACAAAUGGGAAAUUUCUUGAAACUGUAGACCUUAAAAUGCUCCCCGAAGAAAUAUCACAUGCCGUUCUUGAUGAGGCUGUUGAUAUCCACAU